UGGCCACCCGGGCCAGCAGCAGCAACCUGCUCAGGUCCCCUUCCAUGGUGUGGAAGCUUUGUUCUUUCGCUGUUCACAAUGAAUCUUGCUGCUGCUCACUCUUUGGGUCCGCACUAGCUUUAUGAGCUGUAACGCUCACUGCGAAGGUCUGUGGCUUCACUCCUGAAGUCAGCAAGACCACGAACCCACCGGAAGGAGGAAACAACUCCGGAAGCACCACGUUUAAGAGCUGUAACACUCACUGCGAAAGUCUGCAGCUUCACUCCUGAAGUCAGCAAGACCACAAACCCACCGGAAGGAAGAAAUUCCAGACACAUCUAAACAUUGGAAGGAACAAACUCCAGACACACUAUCUUUAAGAACUGUAACACUCACCGCGAGGGUCUGUGGCUUCAUGCUUGAAGUCAGCCGGACCAAGAACCCACCGGAAAGAACCAAUUCCUGACACAAUCGUAUGUAAAAUUUUACUUCCUGAUGUGGGAGUUCAUGAAAAUGAAUUUAAACCUAAUUUUAAUUAUGCUUAUAUUCUUACCCCCUCCUGUUGCCAUUCCGUCCUAUACAUGACCCCAAACCAACAAACACUUGAAUUGUUUAUUUUUAAUUACACCACGAGGCUACAUUUUUAUUGUUUUACAAGGCAUAGGUAAAAAGCAAGGAGUUGAAGGCAAGUGGACUGGGGCAGGGAGGUGGAACUGGAGCGCACUGCGGUCAGAACCCUGGGUUGGAUGGAGGUUUGGUUUCUGUCUCUGCCAGAAGCCGUCUCUCUUAACCGUGGACAGAUCUUGUUCCUGAAUGGACGCUUUCAGUAUUUCUUUCUGAAGUCUGAUAUUUGCUAUAGAUUUUAUUUUUUUCUGUGGCUGUAGAUACCCUUUAUCUGGUUAAUAAAAUUAUUAUCUAUUACUAUUUUGCUAAGUUAAAGAAAAGCAUGACUGUUGAAAUGUAUCACAUACUUUUCUCUGCACCUACAAAGAUGACCAAAUGAACUCACCAUUGGUUUAUUAAUGUUGUGAAUGACAUUGAUUUUGCUCCUAAUGUUUAACCAAUCUGUGUUCCUGAUCAUGAUCAAACCUGGUCUUUAUUCUUCUUCCCCUUUUCGUUUUCUUGCUCCUGCUGCUUCUCAGCUUAAUGGAGCGACCCACAUGGUGAGAAACUGAGGCCUCUUGGCAACAGCUAUGUCACUAAACCAACUUGGAAGUGGG
rnacentral:lncRNA from 1 species